AUUGAACGCUGGCGGAAUGCCUUACACAUGCAAGUCGAACGGCAGCACGGGAGCAAUCCUGGUGGCGAGUGGCGAACGGGUGAGUAAUACAUCGGAACGUGCCCAAUCGUGGGGGGAUAACGUAGCGAAAGCUACGCUAAUACCGCAUACGAUCUACGGAUGAAAGCAGGGGAUCGCAAGACCUUGCGCGAAUGGAGCGGCCGAUGGCAGAUUAGGUAGUUGGUGGGGUAAAGGCUCACCAAGCCUUCGAUCUGUAGCUGGUCUGAGAGGACGACCAGCCACACUGGGACUGAGACACGGCCCAGACUCCUACGGGGUGGCAG
rnacentral:rRNA from 1 species